rnacentral:rRNA from 1 species
UAAGCAUAUCAAUAAGCGGAGGAAAAGAAACCUAACAAGGAUUCCCCUAGUAACUGCGAGUGAAGCGGGAAAAGCUCAAAUUUAAAAUCUGAGGGUCUUGUUGGCCUUCCGAGUUGUAAUCUAGAGAAGUGCUAUCCGCGCUGGACCGUGUACAAGUCUCCUGGAACGGAGCGUCAUAGAGGGUGAGAAUCCCGUCUUUGACACGGACUACCAGGGCUUUGUGUGAUACGCUCUCAAAGAGUCGAGUUGUUUGGGAAUGCAGCUCUAAAUGGGUGGUAAAUUCCAUCUAAAGCUAAAUAUUGGCGAGAGACCGAUAGCGAACAAGUACCGUGAGGGAAAGAUGAAAAGAACUUUGGAAAGAGAGUUAAAAAGUACGUGAAAUUGUUGAAAGGGAAACGCUUGAAGUCAGUCGCAUUGGCCAGGGAUCAACCUUGCUUUUGCUUGGUUUAUUUUCUGGUUAAUGGGUCAGCAUCAAUUUUGAUCGGUGGAAAAAGAUCAAGGGAAUGUGGCAUCUUCGGAUGUGUUUUAUAGCCUUUGGUUGUAUACAUCGAUUGGGAUUGAGGAACUCAGCACGCCGCAAGGCCGGGUUUUUAACCACGUACGUGCUUAGGAUGCUGGCAUAAUGGCUUUAAUCGACCCGUCUUG